rnacentral:rRNA from 1 species
UACAGAGGUCUCAAGCGUUGUUCGGAUUCAUUGGGCGUAAAGGGUGCGUAGGUGGUGACGCAAGUCUGGUGUGAAAUCUCGGAGCUCAACUCCGAAAUUGCACCGGAUACUGCGUGACUCGAGUACUGUAGAGGAGAUCGGAAUUCACGGUGUAGCAGUGAAAUGCGUAGAUAUCGUGAGGAAGACCAGUUGCGAAGGCGGAUCUCUGGGCAGUUCCUGACACUGAGGCACGAAGGCCAGGGGAGCAAACGGG